rnacentral:rRNA from 1 species
AGGAAAGGCAAGCAACGGCGAUUGCUUCAGUAAUGGCGAAUGAACUGGCAUCACCCAUCUGUCUCUUCCCGAAGGUGAAUCCAGAUGCACCUGCGAGUGCACUCGGCUCUUGUGAGAUUCAGCAGAUGCUGUGGGUUGUGGAGCGGGCGGCUGUGCCUCGGCUGGGCCAUGCACCAAGAAGGACCCUGGAAUGGGCCUCGAGAAAAGGAUAUUGACCUGUAUGGUGCCGUGUGCCCGUGGCCUGGCCGGGUGUGGCCGUUCGCAUCCAGGAGUAGAGUUGCUUGGGACUGCAGUUUGAAGUGCGAGGUGUAUCCCUCGCAAGGAAGAACACUGACGUGGGACCGAUAGCGCACAAGUAGAGUGAUUGAAGGAUGCAAAGGACCUUGCAAAGGGGGUUAAACGUCCCUGAAGCCUCGGCAGGAACGGCGGAGGGCGGUGUUGUGGCUUUGUGGUCCCCAUCGGGCGGCCCGUUUUCUCUGGUUCUGUCCUCUUUCCCCUUCCGGGGUCGAGGCGGGCCGGGGACGGGUGCGGUCCCAGACCACGGUUCACCCUCUCUCUCCUUCGGGAGGAGGGGUAACCAGACGAUAUUGAAUCCAAGCACCCUUGGGCUGGCCCCGUGCUGGCCAAUGAGCUCCAUCCACACCAGGUUGGAAUGAUUAUCGCGGCAGUUACUCGAGGUGGCAACCCGCUUGCCUGAGCCUGAGGGCGGACACACUUCCAUCGGAGAUCAGUUUGUAUCCAGAGCAGGGUCAAGUGUGCAGUUGUGCAGACAGUCGGCAACGAGCAGCAAAUAAUCCCCAGUCGGGGCGUGUUGUGAUUCGUGACGUGUGCACAGCGCACACGAGAUUGUGCCAGUGGAACGAGAUGCCAAAACCUGGCCUGUCUGCGGACAGGUCAGUGGCCGUGCCCCGGAUGGUUCCGGUGCUGGCUGCUGCGCGGUGGCUGCACCAUUUUGAUGGUGGCUCCUGCGUGGCGGCUGGCCCCCCAGACGGAGUGCGGUCCAGACGCGGCAGAAGAGCUUGGCCAACCGUCAGUGCCGCUCUCUGCCCGUCUUGAAACACGGACCAAGGAGUCUAUGGAGCGUGCAGAUUGGAUGGCGUGAUCGGCAAAACCACCCGGUGUGGUGAAGGCAACAGUCCCCGAUGGUGCUUACUCUUUGUGCAGGGGACACCGGCCCCGAAGUCCAGCGGACAGGGUUUUGAGUGCUUGCUCGGUCCAUGGGACCCGAAAGGUGGCGAACUAUACCAUGCUAUGGCGAAGCUGUGGGAAACUGCAGUGGAGGCCAGCAGCUGUUCUGACGUGCAAAUUGUGUAGCCCGAGCGUGGCAUAGGGGUGAAAGGCCAAUCGAGCCACCUAGUAGC